UUCCACGUAAGGAGGGGGAGCCUAAGGUAGGACUGGUGACUGGGGUGAAGUCGUAACAAGGUAGCCGUACCGGAAGGUGUGGCUGGAUCACCUCCUUUUAGGGAGACCUACCCAUUGAAGAAUCGAAAGCCAUAGGCGAAUAGAGAAUCAACUGGUCUACUCUAGGUCGGUCGAGAAUUGGUCAAGUCUCUUUCAAAGUAUUAGACAUCUCCGGUGGAACCUAGCAACUAGGGAAGACCUAGACUGCUGGUGAAAAACCGCCAAAACCCUGGAAAAC
rnacentral:misc_RNA from 4 species